UUAAUACUUCUUUCGUCCGAAAAUACUUAUUGAAGGAAUGAAUGUAUCUAAACGCAUUUUAGUUCUAGGUACAUUUAUUUUUAUCCAUUUAUCUGACAAGUAUUUCCAGACGGAGGGAAUAUAUG
rfam:Triticum urartu cultivar G1812 contig586373, whole genome shotgun sequence.